rnacentral:rRNA from 1 species
CUACGGGUCGCUGCAGUGGGGAAUAUUGGACAAUGGGGGAAACCCUGAUCCAGCAAUGCCGCGUGUGUGAAGAAGGCCUGCGGGUUGUAAAGCACUUUCGGUUGGGAGGACUGCUUCUAGCACUAAUAUUGUUGGAAGUUGACGUUACCUUCAGAAGAAGCACCGGCUAACUCCGUGCCAGCAGCCGCGGUAAUACGGAGGGUGCAAGCGUUAAUCGGAAUUACUGGGCGUAAAGCGCGCGUAGGCGGCUAGAUCAGUCGGGUGUGAAAGCCCCGGGCUUAACCUGGGAACUGCAUCCGAUACUGUCUAGCUGGAGUACAGGAGAGGAGAGUGGAAUUCCACAUGUAGCGGUGAAAUGCGUAGAUAUGUGGAGGAACACCAAUGGCGAAGGCAGCUCUCUGGCCUGAUACUGACGCUGAGGUGCGAAAGCGCGGGGAGCAAACAGGAUUAGAUACCCCAGUAGUC